rnacentral:tRNA from 1 species
GGAAGGGUAUAGCUCAGUGGUAGAGCACAUGCUUAAUAUGCACAAGGUCCUGGGUUCAAUCCCCAGUACCUCCA